GAUGAACGCUGGCGGCGUGCCUAAUACAUGCAAGUCGAGCGAACGGACGAGAAGCUUGCUUCUCUGAUGUUAGCGGCGGACGGGUGAGUAACACGUGGAUAACCUACCUAUAAGACUGGGAUAACUUCGGGAAACCGUAGCUAAUACCGGAUAAUAUUUUGAACCGCAUGGUUCAAAAGUGAAAGACGGUCUUGCUGUCACUUAUAGAUGGAUCCGCGCUGCAUUAGCUAGUUGGUAAGGUAACGGCUUACCACGGCAACGAUGCAUAGCCGACCUGAGAGGGUGAUCGGCCACACUGGAACGGAGACACGGUCCAGACUCCUACGGGAGGCAGCAGUAGGGAAUCUUCCGCAAUGGGCGAAAGCCUGACGGAGCAACGCCGCGUGAGUGAUGAAGGUCUUCGGAUCGUAAAACUCUGUUAUUAGGGAAGAACAUAUGUGUAAGUAACUGUGCACAUCUUGACGGUACCUAACCAGAAAGCCACGGCUAACUACGUG
rnacentral:rRNA from 1 species